AUGGAUCAUUUGGGCCACACAGUUAUGCCUCUGUUUGUCCGAAUCCAGACUGACAAAGUUCUGGAACACAACACACCAGACAUCACAGUUGUGGAAAAGAAAAAGGUUUGGAUCAUUGAUGUCGCCAUCCCAGGUGACAGUCGCAUUGACGAAAAACAACAGGAAAAACUCAGCCGCUAUCAGGACCUCAAGAUUGAACUUCAAAGACUCUGGCAGAAACCAGUGCAGGUGGUCCCGGUGGUGAUGGGCACACUGGGUGCCGUGCCAAAAGAUCUCAGCCGGCAUUUGGAAACAAUAGACAUUGACAAAAUUACGAUCUGUCAACUGCAAAAGGCCACCCUACUGGGAUCUGCACGCAUCAUCCGAAAAUACAUCACACAGUCCUAGACACUUGGGAAGUGCUCGACUUGUGAUUUUGUGAUACGAAAUCCAGCAUAUCUAUUUUGUUUGCUGUGUCAUAAUAAAAUAAUAUAGACCAGGCAGACCUUUAAGGUCAAGUAGUGUGAUACGAAUCUCCACUCAGAUUAGGGACAGUCUUCACUUAAAAACUGUCCAGAGAUGGCAUUUUCUUGGGCGUAGCACCAAAGCUCUGGAAUGCACUGCCAGAAGUGAUUACAGCAGUUCCCAUCCCCAUGUCCUUUAGGAAAAAUCUGAAGACAUUCCUGUUUGGAAUAGCUUUUAAUUGAUCUGUAACAGAAGCCCAGGAUUUAUAGCACUUUAGAAUUAUUUAGAGUGUGUUUACUUAUUUUAAUUAUAGUUUUAACAUCCUACAAGGAGGGACUAUGUAAACUAUUUGGGUUAAUUGUAAUGGUCUUUUUUAUAUUGCAUGUUUCUAUGCUGUUGUAAUCCAACUUGAGUCUGUUGGAGAAAAGUGAUAUAGAUAUUUCCCAAAUAACUAAAUAAAUAUUAUGAGUCCCACUGCUGUUUUUCUCAGGUUAUCAGGCUGAUCCCCAUCAAGACCAGCACCAUUUUCCAAAGAUCAACUACAAUUGUUUCCUUCUUGGAAGCUCACCAGGGAUCAAUAGCCAAAGGUUUGGGGACUGCACUGGUCCAUGAACAAUAAUUUUGAGUGGUACCACCUUGCCAUAUCUCCUACUUACUGCCAAUUUUAACUCAAUUAUAUUUCAAGUUGGGUUCAAGCAAUCAAAAUGUUUUUCUAACCUCCUCCUGUUGUUGCUUGAUCACUUUUGGUUUCUUGCUCUUCCGGCUAUCUUCCAUCUCCAUCACAUCCAUCAUUCUUCUUGUAUAUUGUUGUGGAUAUUGCAAACUACAAUAUGAAAUAAUAAGUGAAAUCACAGCGGACUAGGGGAGAUUAAUUCUGAAGUAUGAAAAACGUACCUGAUCUUAAACAGGUAUAGGAAACCUUUUCACCCUGCCUGCCUGGUUCUAUGUAGUUGUCACAUAGCACUAGAUGGAAUCCUUUCCAAGACUAAUACAGGCUGAGUAUCCUUUGUUUGGAAUUCCAAAUUCCAAAAUACAGAGGGAAAACAUUUCUCCAUGGCAGUUUCCCAAAUUAAAUUAUGUUUAAGAUUUAGGACUUCAUCAGACAGAGCUGAGGAAAUUGGAGAAAAUCGUCUUCUUUGAGUGGGAUUCCAUCUUUAAAUAUGAAGAAUUUACUUACCUCUAUCACACAGAAUUUCCUCCUCCUAUCUCAACCAAGAGACUUGACAUACCAUUCUCAAGACAGACACCACUUCUGGGAUACUUUCCCCUCCAAUCCCAUUACUGUAGAGGAGACCUGAGGCACCAUUCUUUAGACAGAAAUCACUUCUGGAAUGGAAUGUUGUGUGGUUUCUAGACUAUAUUAUUAUUAUUAUUAUUAUUAUUAUUAUUAUUAUUAUUUACAGUAUUUAUAUUCCGCCCUUCUCACCCCGAAGGGGACUCAGGGCGGAUCACAUUAUACACACAUAGGGCAAACAUUCAAUGCCCAUAAACACAUCAAACAGAGACAGACAGACGCAGAGGCAAUUUAACCUUCUCCUGAGGGGAUGUUCGAUUCUGGCCACAGGGGGGAGCAGCUGCUUCAUCAUCCACUCUGAUGGCACUUCCUCAUUCCAAGUCAUAAAUUAGUUAAACUUGCCUCCCCACUUUUAUAAGUGGUACCUUAUCUCCUACUUGAUAGAUGCAACUAUCUUUCGGGUUGCUGGGUCAGCAACGAGCAGGGGCUGUUUUUUAUUUAUUUAUUUAUUUAUUUUUUAAUUGACGGGUGCUCAUCCCGCCAUGGGCUGCCCUCGAACUCAUGACCUCAUGGUCAGAGUGAUAUAUUGCAGCAGGCUGCUCAACAGCCUGCGCCACAGCAUUUUCUCCUGAUGUUUCACCGGUAUCUGUGGCUAGCCUCUUCAAAGAUCCUCUGAAGAUGCCAGCCACAGAUGCAGGCAAAACAUCAGGAGAAAAUGCUGCUAGAACACUGCCACACAGUCCAGAAACCACACAACAUUCCAGUGAUUCCCUGCCAUGAAAGUCUUUGACAAUACACUUCUGCAAUACAGUACUCGACUUCCCCUCCAAUCUUGUAACUCUCAAGGAGACAGGAAGGCAGACCACCUUACUCUGGGCUCCUCUCAUUUCCCCCCCAAUCUCAUUAAUGUCAAUUGCGGAAGUUUAUAAUUUAAUGUAAUUUAAUUUGUGGAGCCCCGGUGGCGAAGUGUGUUAAAGCACUGAGCUGCUGAACUUGCAGACCAAAAGGUCCCAGGUUCAAAUCCCGGGAGCGGCAUGAGCAGCUGCUGUUAGCUCCAGCUCCUGCCAACCUAGCAGUUUGAAAACGUGCCAAUGUGAGUAGAUCAAUAGGUACCGCUCCGGCGGGAAGGUAACAGCACUCCAUGCAGUCAUGCUGGCCACAUGACCUUGGAGGUGUCUAGGGACAACGCCGGUUCUUCGGCUUAGAAAUGGAGAUGAGCACCAACCCCCAGAGUCAGACAUGACUGGACUUAACGUCAGGGGAAACCUUUACCUUUUUAUAAUUUAAAAAGCUAAAAGUAGCAGAAUUUUGAAAGCCAAUAUUAAAAAGAAGGAGAAAUGUUAGGAAAAACAAACUGGUGAUAUUUUGACGUUUUGUAUAUGUCUAAAUAUUAAACUAAUUUUUUUUAAAUUAUCAGGCCAGGCUCAUGAAGCAGGAUUUUGGGAGAGAAAUAUCAAUGCUUGGAAGGAGACCACCCAUAGGAAUUCCCAUUACUGAAUCAAUUCAGCCUGGGCAAAUCUGACAGAUCCCAUUGCACAUGUUUCCUCCAAUUUCCAUUCAAAUCAUGAGCUCAGAAGACAAUUUUCCCCAUCUACUAUCCUCUCUUCUAAAACAAUUUCCUAACAAAGCA
ensembl:lncRNA